rnacentral:lncRNA from 7 species
AUCUUCCUCAGUGGGAUCCCCAGCUGAUGUGACAAAAGGGAUAGCAAAAUGAGAGCAAUCAUUUUACAUCAAGUAAUGCCUCUGGUACUGCAAACAUGGUGAUAAUCAGAGACUGCCAACCCCAGAGGGCUAUGAGCAUUGACCAAGCUGGAUGUUUUGUUCCAUAACAGAUGGCUUGCAAUGAAGUACCCUGAGUCUUCAACUGAUGGAUUCUCAGAAGGUAGCUCCUGGUGUAGCCAUGCAUGUUUUGCUCUCUAACUGCUUGGAGAGAACAAGAUAAAGAAGCUCCAAAUACCUUGGCUCUUGGUUCUCAGCAGUUUCUCAGAAUCAGAGUUGGAGACUCAGGACAGGAGGCCUCAAAGGACCAGCUGGAAGGAUAUGAAGGGAAGGCUAACAAGGCCACUCAGUUGUUAUUUGGACACUCAUCAUUAAAUGCUGUUUUUCAGGGAAGAGGGGGCUGAGAAUGGUUCAAACUAAUGGAACUACAAACAAACCUUUUAAAACAGAUCCCAGAGAAGCUGAGGCAGUUCAUCUGAGACGUGCUGUAUUAGCAGCUUCAGUGUUUUCUUACCCAAAUGCCUGAAGAAUCAGCACAACCUGUUCCAUGCCUCACAAGCCCAGAGGCCUCUUGCAUGUACCUCCCCGUCAUUUCUUCUGUACCCUGAAGAUACCUGUUCUACAUGCACUGUUCUAUGCUACCUGGGAAGGGCAAAAGCCAUCCUCCUCUAUUCCCAUCCAUGAGGGAACAGUUUCACGCGUGACUUCUAAGCCAGUGAAAGACUGCCUACUCACAGAGGAUGAUGUUCAGUCUGCUUCCUCCUCUCUUCUGGAGACAAACCCUACCAAAGAAACCAAAGCCUGUACCCUAUUGGCCAAGCUUUCAUGUAAGCAAAGGGAGAGAUGCCCAAAGAUGUCUUCUGCCAGCGCUCAUGGGAACUGAAGCUAAAGUCAUCACAUUGUCAUAGUCAUUACUUCGCAGGCAUGGGUUGAUGGUUGUACUAGGUGAACUUAUGGUCUUUCCAACCCUUAUGAUUCUAUGAUCUGUGCUCCUCACACUCCUUGGCAACCCGUAGGGAUGCUCUGCUCCUGAGUUUGUAGAGAAGAAACUACUCUCCCUUUUUGGCUUUCAUCUUUUAUGCUUGAGCACAUGGUGAUAUCAACGAACAUGGAUUCUAGUCUGGAAAGCUGCUUGCCACUGACUGCAGGGGACAAUUUAAUCUUCAUGUUAACUUCACUGCUGGGCUUCCUAGAUGGUUGUUUUGCUGCCUGAGCCUGAAGCAGCAAGUGAGGAAGGGGAGUCAAAAAGAGAAAUUAACUCCCUGGGCUGAAAUUUCAACGCACUCUGAUUUUCCUCUACAAAGGCGGAACAGGCUUAGAGGAAAGGGCUGCUCAAGCCUGGUCAGAGCCUUCCUGAAGGCAGGUAUCUGCAGUGCUACCCUUCCUGGAGAAGGAAUAAAUCUGGAUAUCCCAGCAUCAAAAACAGGCUAUUUACCUCUUUAAGAACAUCCCCUUACUGCACCUUUCCUCUGCUCUCAAUAUUAAGUUUGCCUUUCCUCUCUCUUUCUUCUCUUUGCUUUUCCUGGGCCUCCGAAGAUCUGGACACUGUGUCCCUCCCACAGAAAGAGGGUAGAAAAAUACUAUGAGGUUGCAGCCCUAUUCUAGCUUGGCAGCUGCUGGUUCUGCGUGUCCAUCUUCCUCCACUACUCUCUCCCCCACUGUUAGAUUCAAUUUCAUAAAUAAAUACCCCACGUAUUGACGUCAUUAUAGGCCUUGAGAAAUAAUACUCCUGCCGCUUUCUUUGCUAAGCAUGGGGAACGGAGGAGAGAGGGAGGAGGAACAGAAGCAACAACGUCUUGGAAGAUGAAGACUUAAUAUUCUCCUAAUCGCCUGCCUCCCUUUGCGGCUAUGACCCAGCUGUGAAGAAUACAAAGAUUACCAUUAUCAGCGUGCCCUUGUGGCUUGAGAAAGGAUAAUUGAGUAUCAAAAAUUCCUAUUACAGAUGAUUUUUAUUAGGAGAGAGGAUGAUGGGGACAUACUCUGUCCUAGAAGCUGGAAGGGUACCCUCAACAGUGUACCCCUGUGCUCCUGUCAUGAAAUUAAGAAAUUUGUAUCCAAAACGUGCUUACAGUUCAUGUUUCUGCGUCUAAGACACCAGUGAUGUUUCCAGCCAUGUCUCAUUGAAAAUCUCUUUCCCUCACUUCAUUUCUGGAGGUCAAGUGGCUGCUUCAUAGACUAAGCUGUGACAAGUCAAAGCCAAGACCACUGAGUUUGUGCCUUUUUUUUUUUUUCUCAGUUCUAAUAUUACACUGUGGUACUCCUC